CCUACGGGCGGCAGCAGUGGGGAAUAUUGCACAAUGGGGGAACCCCUGAUGCAGCGACGCCGCGUGAAGGAAGAAGUCUUUCUGUAUGUAAACUUCUAUCAGCAUGGAAACAAAUGACGGUACCUGCCUACUCCGCCCCGGCUCACUACGUUCCAGCCGCCGCGGUACUACGUAGGGGGCAAGCGUUAUCCGGAUUUACUGGGUGUAAAGGGAGCGUAGGCGGUUUAGCAAGUCAGAAGUGAAAGCCCGGGGCUCAACUCCGGGACUGCUUUUGAAACUGUUGAACUAGAUUGCAGGAGAGGUAAGUGGAAUUCGUAGUGUAGCGGUGAAAUGCGUAGAUAUUAGGAGGAACACCAGUGGCGAAGGCGGCUUACUGGACUGUAAAUGACGCUGAGGCUCGAAAGCGUGGGGAGCAAACAGGAUUAGAUACCCCUGUAGUC
rnacentral:rRNA from 1 species